rnacentral:rRNA from 1 species
UACGAAGGGGGCAAGCGUUGUUCGGAAUUACUGGGCGGAAAGGGCGCGUAGGCGGCCGAUCAAGUCAGGCGUGAAAUUCCCGGGCUCAACCUGGGGGCUGCGCUUGAUACUGAUUGGCUUGAAUGCGGGAGUGGAUAGUGGAAUUCCCAGUGUAGAGGUGAAAUUCGUAGAUAUUGGGAAGAACACCGGUGGCGAAGGCGGCUAUCUGGCCCGUAAUUUACGCUGCGGCGCGAAAGCGUGGGGAGCAAACAGG